rnacentral:misc_RNA from 1 species
GAUGAAGAACGUAGUGAAAUGCGAUACGUAAUGUGAAUUGCAGAAUUCAGUGAAUCAUCGAAUCUUUGAACGCAUAUUGCGCUCUCUGGUAUUCCGGAGAGCAUGCUUGUUUGAGUAUCAGUAAACACCUCAACUUCCAUAUCUUUUUUGAAAUGGGAGUUGGACUUGAGUGAUCCCAACGCUUUUCCUCACCGAAAAGUGGCGGGUUACUUGAAAUGCAGGUGCAGCUGGACUUUUCUCUGAGCUAUAAGCAUAUCUAUUUAGUCUGCCUAAAAAACAGAUUAUUACCUUUGCUGCAGCUAACAUAAAGGAGAUUAGUUCUUGUGCUGACUGAUGCAGGAUUCACAAAGACAGGCUUCGGCCGACUUUGUAAACUCGAUCUCAAAUCAAGUAAGACUACCCGCUGAACUUAAGCAUAUCAAUAAGCGAGGA